UACAGAGGUCUCAAGCGUUGUUCGGAUUCAUUGGGCGUAAAAGGGUGCGUAGGUGGGCGCGGUAAGUCGGGUGUGAAAUCCCUCGGCUCAACCGAGGAACUGCGCCCAAAACUACCGUGCUCGAGGAAGAUAGAGGUGAGCGGAACUUAGGGUGGAGCGGUGAAAUGCGUUGAUAUCCUAAGGAACACCGGUGGCGAAAGCGGCUCACUGGAUCUUUUCUGACGCUGAGGCACGAAAGCUAGGGUAGCGAACGGG
rnacentral:rRNA from 1 species